UACGUAGGGUGCGAGCGUUGUCCGGAAUUACUGGGCGUAAAGAGCUCGUAGGUGGUUUGUCGCGUUGUUCGUGAAAACUCACAGCUCAACUGUGGGCGUGCGGGCGAUACGGGCAGACUGGAGUACUGCAGGGGAGACUGGAAUUCCUGGUGUAGCGGUGGAAUGCGCAGAUAUCAGGAGGAACACCGGUGGCGAAGGCGGGUCUCUGGGCAGUAACUGACGCUGGAGGAGCGAAAGCCGUGGGGAGCGAACAGG
rnacentral:rRNA from 1 species